UUGUACUUCCCUCAGCUUUUUUCCAUUGGUGGGAGUGGGAUUAAAAAAAAAGUUUUUCCUCCACCCAAAACACACUUCUUCACACUCCACUCUUCACUCUCCCAUUUUAUGUUCUCUCUCUUCCGUUGUUUUCCAUCUUCUUUCUCCAUUGAAACCCUAGCCGCAACUGCUCCAUUUCUCCACUUUAUUUACAGCCACCACCAUCUGUAAUGAAAAAACCAAAGUCAUAUUCGUACUCUUUAUCUCAUGGCCUUCCUAAUCAACCAAUUGGAAUUUUGUUUCGAAGGACUUCGCAGCAACCAGCGUUUCUCCAUCUCUGACCGAUUCGAGGAAGUAGGAGAUACCAGACCGAGUUCGAUGGAUAGAGUCACGACAUGUGACAGUAGAAGUCGUGUUGUCUUGGAGGGUUUUAUGAUUUUGCUCUAUUUUCAACCGGUUGUUACAUAGGUGAUUUUGUUACCCAUGUUUAAUGUUGUUUCUAUUUUCUUUAAUUUUCCAGGUUUUUAUUUCAAUAUGACUGAAGCUAACUCAACGAGAUUAACGAGGAUGACGAGAAACUGAUGGAUGCAUUCUUAUCCAAGGACCUAGGUUCCCAGACAACAACACUUGCAGAUGUUUUGUGACCGUAUAUGGAUUUGAUUCUUUUUACAGGCUGCACGGCUUCAAUGUCGAGGACAAAAAUUAUUGCUAGCCCGAAUAGAGGAAGUGCCAGUGUGAUCUUAUGCUGAUAUGGUGCGUGUUUCUGUUUCUAUGCAUUCUACUUUGAAAUUGAUAAUAUAAUAGUGCUUAUGUAUUUCUGUGCAACUGCGAAUCCCGAUGGCCAAAAGCGAGACCUUGUGAUCGGAGGAGAAACUGCUAACUUCAUUGAUAUUGAUAUUGAUAUUGAUAUUGAUCCAGAAAACAAAAAAGAAGACCGUGUUCAUUCACUUGCUUGAUUUAUGACAACAUAUAUCUUCUGACUUUUGGUUUCUGCUGUAAGUUAAGAACGUAUCUGCCACCGUUAAUUUGUUCCUACUUAUAUGUAAAUGUUUUGAUUCAUUACAUCAUUAAAUGGGACUGGAAUUCUCAAAUGAGAUGAGCAAAAUUGUUUGAUAUUCUGAAAUUCUGAUUCAGUUGCAAUAGGGACUGUUUUGCAAUGGGAGUGGGAGUGUUUUGACUAAGGGAAUGUUCUGAAAUUGUAUUCUGAAAUCUUUAGUAAGUAUGGUAAUGGGACUGUUUUGACUAAGGGACUGUUUUGUCUUAUAUUUUCAUCCCUAUUUGCAUUAUAAAUCAGUGAGAAUGCUAACAGUAGGUGUAUAAUGCUAGAGAAAACUAAAGAACUCCUAAAGCGGUUUCUUGAUUCUUGAUUCAUGACACCGUUAAUUUGUUCCUACUUUGAUUAAUGUUUAUUUUUGUUUUAGAUUACUUUGGUUCUGAUUUUUGUUAUGCUUUUAUGCUUCAACAGAUCCGGUAAGCUGACGAUCGUGGUGUCUUGCAAUGACGUUUUAUGCACAGAUCUGGUGACGAUAUCAAAAAAAUACAAUUUUAGGGUUGUGUGAUGACUAAGUAUGCCUUUUUGAAUUGAUUUUCUUUGCACGUUCAAAUCAUGGGUUUCUUUGCACAACUUUGUAUUGUUACAGCUUAUUUUCAAAUAGAAAAGCUAGCACAUUUUGGUAAGUAACCAAUCACAAAGAUCACAAAGUAGCAGCCAGUAGCUUGUAGUAACAGACACCACAUUCCAAUUCUAUCAGAUUGCGCAGACCGAAUGUUGAAAAAAAUGCAGUUUGAAAUUUGUUUAUUGUUUGCAAUUUGAAUGAGUUUUUGUUUUGUUUGUGGUUGAUGUCAUUUUCUUAUCAUGAAUCGUGGUUGAUUUAUCACUGUGUUUGGGUUUGUUCUGUGGGUGUAGAACUGCUUUCAAGGAGAAGAAAAUUUCAUUUUCAUUCUUUCUUACAAAGUCUUCGAUGAAAUGUCUUUGCCGAUUUCUUGAUUCUUUCUCUUCUGUUUGGAUUUGAUUGUGUUUGUAUUGUGUUAUUUUUUAUUGAAGAAAACUGGCGGCGGAGUCUAUUUACAAAGAGAGAUGUAUUCUGGUAAAUGAUAAAUUUUCAUGAUUCUUGACGCAAUUGAGCAAGUGGGUGGGAUAAACGUUGUCACUGCUGACCAUGGGAAUGCAGAAGACCGGUUGUUUAUGUUUUGUUAAGGAGCGGAAUGGAAUUGAUAAGCUAAUACUCAAAGAAUUGAAUUGAUUUAUGCCUACAAGAUAAAGAUUGGAGAUGAGUACGCGAAAUGGUCGUCGACGGCAAGAGACCGAGAUCCAUCGAUACUGAGAGAGCAUUAUGUCAUAAUUGCUUACAUUGUUGCUGCCACUGGUGGCUCUCUCUUUGGCGAUGAUGUUGGAAUUUCAGGGGCUCUUCAAAAAUUGCCAAAGGUAAUAGGAUAUAUCUUACUCCAUUUUGGUUAAACAUAGAGAUUUAUAUUUUCAUUUUAAUUGUGACUGGAUUUGUUAACAACUUGUGUGAAGGUUCUUGGAAGUCACAUUGUGUAAUAUUUCGAUUUGAACUAGACGGUUGAAUAGAGUACCGACCUAUUUGUCGAUUUGCUUGAUUUUGAUUGUAUCACAGUUGAUGUAACUAUUCUGGUUGCUUCAUUUUGUGUUAUUUGCUUCAUUGUACUUUUUAUUCUAAACUAUCAUCAUAUUCAUGCAAUGAGAAUGCCAAUAAUUUAGAUCCAUAUCAAAAUCAUCUUGCACAACUUGAUCAAUAGGUUAUAUGUUAAUGUUAGUUUCGAAUUCCACCUAAAUUCAAUAUUCACCUAUGUUAUCGCAUCGGUUUAGGUUAAGGCCAAACUCAUUUAGUUUCAAAGUACAUGUCAUUUGAUAUUAAUCUAUUUUUUUCUCUCAUGAUAAAUAAGAAUUGAUUAAUAAUUAAUUUUAUUAAUUUUAUUAAAUACAAAAAAUCCAUGAUUAAAGAAUAAAUUAAUUAGAUGACUUUGUACAAAUUUAAUGUGUCAUAAACCCCCAAAAUUAAAACAGAUAACUCCUCAUUCA